rnacentral:rRNA from 1 species
UACGAAGGGGGCUAGCGUUGUUCGGAUUUACUGGGCGUAAAGCGCACGUAGGCGGAUCUUUAAGUCAGGGGUGAAAUCCCAAGGCUCAACCUUGGAACUGCCUUUGAUACUGGGGAUCUCGAGUCCGGAAGAGGUUGGUGGAACUGCGAGUGUAGAGGUGAAAUUCGUAGAUAUUCGCAAGAACACCAGUGGCGAAGGCGGCCAACUGGUCCGGUACUGACGCUGAGGUGCGAAAGCGUGGGGAGCAAACAGG